GAUGAACGCUGGCGGCGUGCCUAAUACAUGCAAGUCGAGCGAACGGACGAGAAGCUUGCUUCUCUGAUGUUAGCGGCGGACGGGCGAGUAACACGUGGAUAACCUACCUAUAAGACUGGGAGAACUUCGGGAAACCGGAGCUAAUACCGGAUAAUAUUUUGAACGGCAUGGUUCAAAAGUAAAAGACGGUCUUGCUGUCACUAAUAGAUGGUUCCGCGUUGCAUUAGCUAGUUGGUAAGGUAACGGCUUACCAAGGCAACGAUGCGUAGCUGACCUGAGAGGAUGAUCAGCCACACUGGAACUGAGACACGGUCCAGACUCCUACGGGAGGCAGCAGUAGGGAAUAUUCCGCAAUGGGCGCAAGCCUGACCGAGCCACACCGCGUGAGUGAUGAAGGUCUUCGGAUCGUAAAGCUCUGUUAUUGGGAAAGAAAAGAUGUGUGUGUAACUGUCGACAUUUUGACGGUACCUAAUGAGAAAGCCCCGGCUAACUUCGUG
rnacentral:rRNA from 1 species